UACGUAGGGGGCUAGCGUUGUCCGGAAUCAUUGGGCGUAAAGAGCGUGUAGGCGGUCCGGUAAGUCCGCUGUGAAAGUCGGGGGCUCAACCCUCGAAUGCCGGUGGAUACUGUCGGGCUAGAGUGCGGAAGAGGCGAGUGGAAUUCCUGGUGUAGCGAUGAAAUGCGCAGAUAUCAGGAGGAACACCUAUUGCGAAGGCAGCUCGCUGGGACGUAACUGACGCUGAGACGCGAAAGCGUGGGGAGCAAACAGG
rnacentral:rRNA from 1 species